AGAGGGCAAGGAAACGGAUUUGGAGGCGGUGGUGGUGGUGGUGGCGGCGGGUUUGGAGGCGGACGAGGGUUCGGAGGUGGUUUUGGCGGUGGUCGUGGUUUUGGUGGUCAUGGCCAACGCUAUGGGUAGGUGUUCGACUCUCCUAAUUCAAGAUUGGUGUGUGCGAAGACUACCUACAUCAUGUACACGUGAAAUUUUCAGACGAUAUGGAUUUGGAAGAUACUAUAUAUUAUGAUUAUUAACUACUUGUGAUUUACUAUUUAAAUAGCGUUACGAAUGAA